AAGUCGUAACAAGGUUUCCGUAGGUGAACCUGCGGAAGGAUCAUUAAUGGAUUUUGACCGAAAGGUUGAAUUACCUUGUGAUGUGUUGAACGUUGUCUGUUGCCAUGUGAAAAGUGGCGACAGUACUUUUUUUUUACAAACCAUUUCUUUGAUUUCUGAUUCUUUUGUGCAUUUUUGCACACAAACAACCGAAAACUGCCAGCAACGGAUCACUCGGUUCUC
rnacentral:misc_RNA from 1 species